rfam:Camelus ferus unplaced genomic scaffold scaffold38411, whole genome shotgun sequence.
AAAGGUAUAGCUCGGUGGUGGAGUGCACGCUUAGCAAGCAUGAGGCCCUGGGUUCAAUCCGCAGUACCUCCA